GUCCUGGCCGUAAACGUUGGGCACUAGGUGUGGGAGGUAUCGACCCCUUCCGUGCCGUAGCUAACGCAUUAAGUGCCUCACCUGGGGGAGUACGACCGCAAGGUUGAAACUCAAAGGAAUUGACGGGGCCCGCACAAGCGGUGGAGUAUGCGGUUUUAAUUCGAGGCAACGCGAAGAACCUUACCCGGGCUUGACAUCACCGAAGGAUCCAUGCUUGCUGGAAACAGCAAGAUUAGGAAGACAGGUGUUGCAUGGCUGUCGU
rnacentral:rRNA from 1 species